rnacentral:rRNA from 1 species
CCCUUAGAUGUUUGGGGCCGCACGCGCGCUACACUGAAGGACUCAACGUGUGUCUCACCUGGCCCGGGAGGGCUGGGUAACCCGUUGAACCUCCUUCGUGCUAGGGAUUGGGGCUUGUAAUUCUUCCCCAUGAACGAGGAAUUCCCAGUAAGCGCGAGUCAUCAGCUCGCGUUGAUUACGUCCCUGCCCUUUGUACACACCGCCCGUCGCUACUACCGAUUGGAUGGUUUAGCGAGAACUUUGGACCGGAGCUCGGGUGGUCAGCAAUGGCCGCCCGAGACAUACUGGGAAAUCGCUCCAGCUUGAUCAUCUAGAGGAAGUAAAAGUCGUAACA